rnacentral:rRNA from 1 species
AUUGAACGCUGGCGGCAUGCCUUACACAUGCAAGUCGAACGGCAGCACGGGUGCUUGCACAUGGUGGCGAGUGGCGAACGGGUGAGUAAUACAUCGGAACGUACCUUAUCGUGGGGGAUAACGCAGCGAAAGCUGUGCUAAUACCGCAUACGCCCUGAGGGGGAAAGCGGGGGAUCGCAAGACCUCGCGCGAUUAGAGCGGCCGAUGCCUGAUUAGCUAGUUGGUGGGGUAAAAGCCCACCAAGGCGACGAUCAGUAGCUGGUCUGAGAGGACGAUCAGCGACACUGGGACUGAGACACGGCCCAGACUCCUACGGGAGGCAGCGGUGGGGAAUUUUGGACAAUGGGGGCAACCCUGAUCCAGCAAUGCCGCGUGAGUGAAGAAGGCCUUCGGGUUGUAAAGCUCUUUUGUCAGGGAAGAAACACCAGCUCUAACACAGUCCGGGAACGACGGUACCUGAAGAAUAAGCACCGGCUAACUACGUGCCAGCCGCCGCAGUAA